rnacentral:rRNA from 1 species
AGGGUUUGAUCAUGGCUCAGAACGUACGCUGGCGGCACGCCUAACACAUGCAAGUCGAACGAAGUAGCAAUACUUAGUGGCAGACGGGUGAGUAACAUGUGGGUAUCUGCCCUUUGGCCUGGAAUAACACGAGGAAACUUGUGCUAAUACCGGAUAAGUCUUUACGGAGAAAGCUUUAUGCACCAUUGGAUGAGCCCGCACUUGAUUAGUUUGUUGGUGGGGUAAUGGCCUACCAAGACUGUGAUCAAUAGCUGAUUUGAGAGGAUGAUCAGCCACAUUGGGACUGAGACACGGCCCAAACUCCUACGGGAGGCAGCAGUGGGGAAUCUUGCACAAUGGAGGAAACUCUGAUGCAGCGAUGCCGCGUGAGUGAAGAAGGCCCUUGGGUUGUAAAGCUCUUUCGUCGGGGAAGAAAAUGACUGUACCCGAAUAAGAAGGUCCGGCUAACUUCGUGCCAGCAGCCGCGGUAAUACGAAGGGACCUAGCGUAGUUCGGAAUUACUGGGCUUAAAGAGUUCGUAGGUGGUUGAAAAAGUUAGUGGUGAAAUCCCAGAGCUUAACUCUGGAACUGCCAUUAAAACUUUUCAGCUAGAGUAUGAUAGAGGAAAGCAGAAUUUCUAGUGUAGAGGUGAAAUUCGUAGAUAUUAGAAAGAAUACCAAUUGCGAAGGCAGCUUUCUGGAUCAUUACUGACACUGAGGAACGAAAGCAUGGGUAGCGAAGAGGAUUAGAUACCCUCGUAGUCCAUGCCGUAAACGAUGUGUGUUAGACGUUGGAAAUUUAUUUUCAGUGUCGCAGCGAAAGCGAUAAACACACCGCCUGGGGAGUACGACCGCAAGGUUAAAACUCAAAUGAAUUGACGGGGACCCGCACAAGUAGUGGAGCAUGUGGUUUAAUUCGACGCAACGCGAAGAACCUUACCAAGGCUUGACAUAUACAGGAAUAUGGCAGAGAUGUCAUAGCCGCAAGGUCUGUAUACAGGUGGUGCAUGGUUGUCGUCAGCUCGUGUCGUGAGAUGUUGGGUUAAGUCCCGCAACGAGCGCAACCCUCGUUCUGUGUUGCCAGCAUUUAGUUGGGGACUCACAGGAGACUGCCGGGGUUAACUCGGAGGAAGGUGGGGAUGACGUCAAAUCAUCAUGCCCCUUAUGUCUUGGGCUGCACGCAUGCUACAAUGGCUGGUACAAACGGCUGCAAUACCGCAAGGUGGAGCGAAUCCGAGAAAGCCAGUCUCAGUUCGGAUUGGGGUCUGCAACUCGACCCCAUGAAGUCGGAGUUGCUAGUAAUCGUAGAUCAGCAACGCUACGGUGAAUACGUUCCCGGGGCUUGUACACACCGCCCGUCACGUCACGAAAGUCGGUAACACCCGAAGUCA